UACGUAGGGUGCAAGCGUUGUCCGGAAUUAUUGGGCGUAAAGAGCGUGUAGGCGGCCCGGUAAGUCCGCUGUGAAAGUCCAGGGCUCAACCCUGGGAUGCCGGUGGAUACUGUCGGGCUCGAGUCCGGAAGAGGCGAGUGGAAUUCCUGGUGUAGCGGUGAAAUGCGCAGAUAUCAGGAGGAACACCAAUGGCGAAGGCAGCUCGCUGGGACGUGACUGACGCUGAGACGCGAAAGCGUGGGGAGCAAACAGG
rnacentral:rRNA from 1 species